CGGGGGUACUGAGCCAGCCGGCUGCGGCGCGGGGGGACCGGAAGGUCCCGCCCCUUUCCGGUCUCAGCAGCAGCCCGAACGGGUGGCCUAGUGUUUCGGCCCCCGAGAUUUUGCGGGUCCCACUGAGCCGGGGCUUACUCCCCUCCCACGUACUCCGGGCCAGAGGCCCAAGGUUUAGUCAGAUCUCUUGGGCUAGGAUGCUGAGUCCUGUCAUGACUGGACUAGUUAGUGCCUCCGCCUGAUCCCUGGGAGGAAAAGCAUAACACCCACGCCCUCCCAGCCAUAUUUUCCAGAGAUACUCCUGCCAAAUUCGGGAUUUGGGAUGUCUGUGCAUGAUACGUAGCAGAUAAUUUGCAACAUGCAAGUUCCGUGCUAUCAGGAAGACUAAAAUUAAUGUAUGGAGACUUCCCGUUUUUAAUGAGCCACAUAAGCCAGUUGUAGUGGAUGACACAGAACUGUAAAAUAUUCCAAAGGCUGCCACAGUCCCAAGAACUAGAGAUAACUGCCACCCGCAAAUCAAGGUAAAUGUAAAUACAGUGUGGUUCUAAUUUUUUUCAUACAAUCUCAGACAACCCCAAGUAACUUUAUAAAUAACUAAUGAAAAAAAAAAAAGCAAUUUUAAAA